rnacentral:rRNA from 1 species
AUUGAACGCUGGCGGCAGGCCUAACACAUGCAAGUCGAACGAGUGGCGGACGGGUGAGUAAUGUCUGGGAAACUGCCCGAUGGAGGGGGCUAACUACUGGAAACGGUAGCUAAUACCGCAUACCAUCGGAUGUGCCCAGAUGGGAUUGGCUUGUAGGUGAGGUAACGGCCCACCUAGGCGACGAUCCCUAGCUGGUCUGAGAGGAUGACCAGCAAGACUGGAACUGAGACACGGUCCAGACUACUACGGGAGGCAGCAGUGGGGAAUAUGGCACAAUGGUCGCAAGCCUGAUGCAGCCAGGCCGCGUGUAUGAAGAAGGCCUUCGGGUUGUAAAGAACGUUCAGCGGGGAGGCAUUACCCGCAGAAGAAGCGCCGGCUAACUCCGUGCCAGCGGCCGCGGUAAUAC